GGAGUCUGUCUGGGGAAGGGUGAGCAGAGCUGCCCUGUGACCUUGCUGAUGGCGAGGCUUUCCUUCAGCGUCUGCUGAGGGUCCUCAACUCACCGUCUUCAGGGCAACUCCGUCCCCCUGGUCUCCUGGUUUCUUGUUUUGCUGAGUGACAGGUGAGCCACUGGGAGUAGGUUCUGUGUGGGGGCUGUGCCCCGCCCCCCCAGCCCGGGUUUCCUCUGGCGUCUG
rnacentral:lncRNA from 1 species